rnacentral:rRNA from 1 species
UACGAAGGGGGCUAGCGUUGUUCGGAAUUACUGGGCGUAAAGCGCACGUAGGCGGACAUUUAAGUCAGGGGUGAAAUCCCAGAGCUCAACUCUGGAACUGCCCUUGAUACUGGGUGUCUUGAGUAUGGAAGAGGUGGGUGGAAUUCCGAGUGUAGAGGUGAAAUUCGUAGAUAUUCGGAGGAACACCAGUGGCGAAGGCGGCUCACUGGUCCAUUACUGACGCUGAGGUGCGAAAGCGUGGGGAGCAAACAGG